GGUGUCUCUGGGCCGGCACAGCCUUAGAGAGUCAAACUUUCCACUGCCUAGAUAGGGACACUGAGGCCCAGAGAGGGGCGGGAACUAUCUUGCUGGCACUUGCAGGCGAAGGCGAGAUGGCAGAAAGGGAAGGGAGACAAGGGGGAGGCGGCCUCUGGUUGCUAGUCCAGCGAGUGGCCCCUGGAAUUUUGUUCUGAGCCCGCCCAGAACCCCCGGCAGCCUGGGCCUGAACAAGGAGGUGGUUCUCUGCAGUCAGGGAGGCGGCUGUUGUGGAUUUCUGGAAGGGCUUGAGGCAGGCCCCCAGGUACUCUGGACACCCCAGCCCCCCACCCCGCUGCAGCCCUUUGUGCCCUAAAACGCAGGACGGGUCCUCUCUGUGUGAUCUCAAGACGGGACUCCGCGAGGGACGGACAGGAAGGCAUCACAGACUCUGAGGGUCUUCCCUCGCCUGCCAGCCCUGAGGCUCAGACAAGCUGAGAGUGGAAGAAGUCAGUCAGCCUCACUGUUCUCCGCCCCCCCCCCCCCCCCCCGAGCACAUGAGCUGCUGGACCAGAAGCAAGGAUGUGCUCGAAGAAGCAUGAUGGUGACCAACUAUGAUGAGUGCUACAAAGGAAACCGCACAGGCCUAGGUACUAGCGCUGGAUGGGGCUGCAGAGAGGGCUUCUUGGGAGGAGGCGGCUCUCCAGCAGCACCCUGGGCUACCUUCCCCGGGGUGCCCACACAGGACCCUUGCAAAGCCGGCCCAAAGCAAGUGGUCUCACCAAGGGAGCGCCCUGACGCCUUUGCCUUCCGGACAAACGCCCGGGCAGGGACAUAUCAUGCAUAUCAAGGUCACCGCUCGAGCAAGUGACCCUGCCCGGAACUCAGCCGAGAUCUCAGAGACGGCCCUCAGGACUCCUGGGCGCUGCAGCCCCUGAAGGCAAGCCAGCAUCUCCAAGUUCACAGCCCUGCACGUGACUGUCACUCGCAGCCCGCUGGCUUCGUCCACUCCCAAGCUCCACACUCUGAGUGGCUGGGCAGGGACAGGGUGAGAACCAGGCCCACAGUCACCGGGAGGCAGCCCCUCCCACCUCGAGCCCCUCCCACUCCCUGGAGGCUGGAGUCGUAACAUCCUGAAGCCCUGAGGUCCCAUGCCUAAGUGCUCAGGGGGACCCUCUGGGUGCAGGGGGCUAGGAACCAUUCCGGAUGAGGCUCAUGUUGAACAGGCCCAAGAGGAAACUGAGCUGCCGCGGAGUGAGCCGAGCCUCCACUAUCUGGAAGUUUCCCAGCUCCGAUAGCUGAGGUGCGGCCAGUGAAAGCUGGCACUCUCUAUGCCAGAGCUUUUUUUGACCUGCCCCUGAGGACAUAAUCACACAGCGGCUCUCUGCCCCAGGCCGUCAGGGCUAUAAUUUCAGGGCCCAGAGGGGUCUCCAUGGGGGCUGGGCCUGUGUCUAGCUAUCUUUAGAGAGGCAUGGUCUGGGGUGUGGCUAGAUGAGGGAAGGUGGACAGGGGGCUGUGCUGCAGGGAGGCAUCUGUGGGCUGCCCAAGAAGCCGGUGAGAUACGGGGAGGCUGCCAUGGUCUUCCCCAGGUGGGGGGAGGCUGGCACCCAGGACCCGCCCCUGGGUCUUCCUGCUGCCUGUGGGGCCAGGAGGCUCCAUCUGGGGCAGUGGGUGAGGGCAGGCACAGGGGAAGGGGCCGGGUGGCCAGCGUCUCUUGGAUGGGCCCUGCGUGGCUGCCCUGGUGGCAGCUGCUACACGGGCAAGGAUGGGAGGGGAGCCCAGGCGUGGGCACACCAUGCCGGGCAUAUCCUUUGCUCCUUCCGGGGCCUGUUUCUCCCGGACGUGAGCCAAGCUUGCCACCACGGUACGAGGCAGGAGGAAGGCUUGGAAGCAAAUGUGCCCAAAGCUAAGCAGGGAGCCUGGCAAGGGGCGGGAGGCGGGCCCUCGGUUAGGGGCGCCGGGGACAGAAAGGAGCAGGCAGGUCGGAGAAUUUGGAAGCCGAUGGGCAGGACUCUGGGCCUGUAGCUGGGAGGGGUGGGCAGUGGGACAACAUUUCACUGAGGUCCCGGGGAAGGAGACGGGGGGGUGGCCCCAAGGGGUACACAUCUGCUCCCCGUCCGUAUUUUCCACCGCUUGCACUUGUUGGCCCAGGUGUCCCCUUCUGGGUCUGCACUGUCCCCACCGUCCUUCCCCUCAGUGUCACCCCCACCACCUCAAUACCCCUGUCUCAAUCUGAGGGCGGACGAGUGCUGCCCUUCUUGCCACCCGACUGCAGUCACCCCUCAGACGCCCAGCGCUCCGGGCCGUGCCCACCACCAUAUGCCCCAGUGGAGCCAGCUCUGCCCUGAACAGGAGCACAGUAAUCGCUGCCACGCUGGCAUGCGUGAGUAGAGGAUAUGGGGUCAGAGAUGCCGGUGAGGAAGGCGUCGGCGCAGGGCAACGGGCGGGCCUGGUCGCCCCGGCAGGUCUCGGCUACACUCGGCUGGGGCUCUGUCCGGGGAUGUCCCACUGUGGGCAUGCCGUGCUGCCUGGGCCAUCUCCCCUGUUGGACUGAAGGUCCUGGCCUUCAGCUGCCGGCACCCCGUGCCUUCAGGAGAGAAUGUUACUCUCCGCUGGGCAGCCCCACGCAAGGAUGAUGGGUUAUAUAGACUCCCAGUCCCCUUGCCCCCACUCAGGACUGGCUCAGCUCCAGAGCCCCCGUGGGGAUUGCCUGGACGGUCAUCGGUCAUGGGCCACCUUCUCCCUGGGCCACUCCUGUUCUUGUCCUCCCCUCCCCCAGGUGGUGGCCCCAAGACAUCCCAGUAAACUCCCUGUGAGCUAA